rnacentral:lncRNA from 1 species
GGUGGAUUAAGUCUCAGCGGUGAGGGAAUCUUAGGACCACUUUCUUCAGACUUGCCUCCAGAGGGAGUGAAUCUGAGUGAGGUACCCCUGGCUGAAGAGUCAUGAUUCUGAACUGAGAGCCUUUUGUUUUUCUCUUUUUUAUACCUUGGUCUGAAUAUUGUUCUCUUUUUUAUACCUUGGUCUGAAUAUUGUUGUAGAAAAACGAACCUAAUGUAAAGAACGGUUUUGUAGCAACUCAUUUUUGUAGAAUAGGCUGUUGUAGAACUCUUCAUUUUCUCUCUAAAUUAUUUCGAGCUAUUGUCGCUGUUAUCUUUGAUUAGAUUGAAAAUAGUGAAACCAGUACAAAAACAAGAUUUACAUAUUUGUCUCUGAUAAC